UGAAAACCUCAAAAUGCGCUCAUCUCGCAGAUCUAAGAAUAGCGAGAAUUUUUGCAAGCACGCAUUGACUAUUGCAGUAACGUUUUUGACAGAGCUUCCUUUUCACGCCUAAACCACCAUUAGCAUUUGCCAUUGAAGGACGAAAAGGGGCGUCACGGAAUGAAAUGGUGGCCGGCAUUGUGAUAUCUUCGACGAAAAACUCAGAUCCCACGAAAAAAAAAAACUAGAUAUGGGCUUCCGAUGUGCACGAUGUUGUCACUCGCCGCAACAACAGUAUCGGAAUAUGGUUAAGAUCCUCACCAGAAAGAGAUAGGGGUAGAA
rnacentral:lncRNA from 1 species